rnacentral:rRNA from 1 species
CCUACUGGGAACAUCAUUGAGGCAUCUUGGUCAAUGGGCGCGAGCCUGAACCAGCCAAGUAGCGUGAAGUCUUCCUUCCCUCCUUUUUUUCCCCUUCUUUUCUCCCUUCCUCCAUUGAUUCCCUUGUGCCUUUUUGUAUGUACUUUAUGAAUAAGGAUCGGCUAACUCCGUGCCAGCCGCCUCGGUAAUACUGCUUAUCCGCUCGUUAUCCGGAUUUAUUGGGUUUAAAGGGAGCGUAGAUGGGUUGUUAAGUCAGUUGUGAAAGUUUGCGGCUCAACCGUAAAAUUGCAAUUGAUACUGGCAGCCUUGAGUACAGUUGAGGUAGGCGGAAUUCGUGGUGUAGCGGUGAAAUGCUUAGAGAUCACGAAGAACUCCGAUUGCGAAGGCAGCUUAAGAAACUGCCAAUGACAUUGAUGCGCGAAAGUGGGGGGAUCAAACAGGAGUAGAGAAAAGGGGAGUC